UAGGGAAUCUUCCACAAUGGACGCAAGUCUGAUGGAGCAACGCCGCGUGAGUGAAGAAGGUCUUCGGAUCGUAAAGCUCUGUUGUUGGUGAAGAAGGAUAGAGGCAGUAACUGGUCUUUAUUUGACGGUAAUCAACCAGAAAGUCACGGCUAACUACGUGCCAGCAGCCGCGGUAAUACGUAGGUGACAAGCGUUGUCCGGAUUUAUUGGGCGUAAAGCGAGCGCAGGCGGAAUGAUAAGUCUGAUGUGAAAGCCCACGGCUCAACCGUGGAACUGCAUCGGAAACUGUCAUUCUUGAGUGCAGAAGAGGAGAGUGGAACUCCAUGUGUAGCGGUGGAAUGCGUAGAUAUAUGGAAGAACACCAGUGGCGAAGGCGGCUCUCUGGUCUGCAACUGACGCUGAGGCUCGAAAGCAUGGGUAGCGAACAGGAUUAGAUACCCUGGUAG
rnacentral:rRNA from 1 species